rnacentral:rRNA from 1 species
AGCAGCCGCGGUAAUUCCAGCUCCAAUAGCGUAUAUUAAAGUUGUUGCAGUUAAAAAGCUCGUAGUUGAAUUUCGGGAUCAGUAGGUUGGUCAUGCCUUCGGUAUGUACUGGUCUCACUGAUUCCUCCCUCUUGAAGAACCGUAAUGUCAUUAAUUUGAUGUUGCGGGGAAACAGGACUGUUAACUUUGAAAAAUUAGAGUGUUUAAAGCAGGCUCACGCUUGAAUACAUUAGCAUGGAAUAAUGAAAUAGGACGUUCGAUCCUAUUUUGUUGGUUUCUAGGAUUGACGUAAUGAUUAAUAGGGAUAGUUGGGGGCAUUAGUAUUCAAUUGUCAGAGGUGAAAUUCUUGGAUUUAUUGAAGACUAACUACUGCGAAAGCAUUUGCCAAGGAUGUUUUCAUUAAUCAAGAACGAAAGUUAGGGGAUCGAAGACGAUCAGAUACCGUCGUAGUCUUAACCAUAAACUAUGCCGACUAGGGAUCGGAUGAUGUUAAUUUUUAAUGACUCAUUCGGCGCCUUAA